rnacentral:rRNA from 1 species
UACGAAGGGGGCUAGCGUUGUUCGGAAUUACUGGGCGUAAAGCGCGCGCAGGCGGUUCGAUAAGUCAGAGGUGAAAUCCCCGGGCUCAACCUGGGAAUGGCCUUUGAGACUGUCGGGCUUGAGGACGAGAGAGGUGAGUGGAAUUCCCAGUGUAGAGGUGAAAUUCGUAGAUAUUGGGAAGAACACCGGUGGCGAAGGCGGCUCACUGGCUCGUUUCUGACGCUGAGGCGCGAAAGCGUGGGGAGCAAACAGG